UUGAUUAAGAAAAAAUGUAUCGGAAAAUGGGUAAAUUCGCAAUUGGAUCAAGAGAUCCAAACGGGUCGGGUCUAAUAGAUUUCGAUUGGAACUGAAUAAGUGACAGUAACUGGAUAUGAAGUCAUGGGGUUGAUCACUGUGAUGGUGCAAAUUGUGGGUUGUUAAGGUUCGAAAGAGCAUAAAAGUUUGUGCUUUUGAGUGAUUUGGUUUGAGACAACGCAAAAGGGAAAGGACCUUGAAACUCAUUUUCUACCAUCUUUGUUUUUUCACA
rnacentral:lncRNA from 1 species